rnacentral:lncRNA from 1 species
AUGGAAUUCAGGCGGAACAUCUUUUGGAAAGCCCAGAGAGGGAAUCGUGCACAGGAGAUCCAGCAUCUGCCCGAAGAACAAAGGAAAUCCCUUAUUUUAGUGGCCUUUAAAGGAGAGAGUUCUCCUAGUUAGAGGGAAUGGGUUUCUGAGGGUAGUAAUUUUGUGACAAUACUAGACAGAAUAUGAAGAGGUCAGUCACAAAGGUUUGUUCCAAGAAUGACUUUUGGAAUCAUGCUGCCCUGCCUUCUGCGUCUUCACCAAGAAUUUGCUACCAGAGACCAAGCUCUACUACUACUUGAUUACUUCUGGCCCAUAUCCAGCAGGAAGCAGCCAAAAUAGCCCAGCAAUCAUUGGUAUAUCAUCUUCUUCCUAUGAAGGAGCAGCAGCCAUUUCUCCAGUGCUGGCGAAGAGAAAAAAAACUACCAACAUGAGAAAGAGAAGAGUUAUCCUGGUGACAGCUGAAGAGGUUGAAUUGAAUGAGUGGGUCAAAUGUGUCUCUCUAACAG